rnacentral:rRNA from 1 species
CACGGAGGGUGCGAGCGUUGUCCGGAAUCACUGGGCGUAAAGGGCGCGUAGGUGGCUUGGCAAGCGUGUGGUGAAAGCCCGGGGCUCAACCCCGGGUCUGCCGUGCGAACUGCUAUGGCUUGAGCACUGUAGAGGCAGGUAGAAUUCCGGGUGUAGCGGUGGAAUGCGUAGAGAUCCGGAAGAAUACCGGUGGCGAAGGCGGGUCUCUGGGCCGAUACUGACGCUGAGGAGCGAAAGCGUGGGGAGCGAACAGG